rnacentral:rRNA from 1 species
GGAGGGUGCAAGCGUUAUCCGGAAUCACUGGGCGUAAAGGGCGCGUAGGUGGUCUGUUAAGUCUGGCGUUAAAGCCUGGGGCUCAACCCCAGAUCAGCGUUGGAUACUGGCAGGCUAGACGGUUGGAGAGGCGAGUGGAAUUACCAGUGUAGCGGUGGAAUGCGUAGAUACUGGUAGGAACACCCAUUGCGAAGGCAGCUCGCUGGACAACACGUGACACUGAGGCGCGAAAGUGUGGGGAGCAAACCGGAUUAGAUACCCGGGUAGUCCACACCCUAAACGAUGCAUACUUGGUAUUGGCCCGUUGGGGUCAGUGCCGGAGCUAACGUGUUAAGUAUGCCGCCUGGGAAGUACGGCCGCAAGGUUG